rnacentral:lncRNA from 1 species
GGAACUUCAACUUCCCAGACAUCUGCUGGAAUUAUAAUACAGCAGAAAGGGAAAAGUCCCGGAGGUUCCUAGAAUGUGUGGGAGACAACUUCCUGACACAGCUGGUGAAGGAGCCAACAAGGGGAACCAAAAUCCUGGACCUGCUGCUUGUUAACAGAGAAGGCCUUGUGGGGGACAUAAAGGUUGGAGGCCAUCUGGGGCAAAGUGAUCAUGAAAUAAUAGACUUCUCAAUCUUUGUUGAACCUCAGAGGGAAGUCAGCAAAACUGCAACCUUGGACUUCCGAAGGGCAGGCUUUGGCCUCUUUAGGAGCAUGGUUGAGAGAGUCCCUUGGGAGGUAGUUCUGGAGGGCAUGGGAGCCAAGGACGGCUGGGAAUACUUUAAGAAAGUUAUUUUAAUGGUGCAGGAGCUGGCUAUCCCCAAGUCACGGAAGAUGAGCUGUUGGGGUAGAAGACUGGUCUGGCUGAACAGAGACCUUAAACUGGAACUCAGGAACAAAAGGAAAGUUUAUGGUCUUUGGAAGAGGGGGCAAGCAACUUAUGACGAUUACAAGUACCUAGUGAAGCUGUGCAGGGAGAAAAUUAGAAAAGCCAAAGCCCAGCUAGAACUGAACUUGGCCACUAAGGUAAAGAACAGCAAUGAAUAUUUCUAUAAAUACAUCAACAGUAAAAGGAGGGCUAGGGAGAAUCUCCAUCCCUUGUUGGAUGCUGAAGGCAACACAGUGACCAAGGAUCAGGAUAAGGCUGAGGUACUUAAUGCCUUUUUCGCCUCAGUCUUUAAUAGUAAGACUUGCUGUGCCCUGGGCACACAGCCCCUUGAGCUGGCAGAUGGGGAUGGGGAACAGAAUAGGCCAUGCACAAUCCACGAUGAGAUGGUUAUGGACCUGCUCCACAAGCUGGACACUCACAAGUCCAUGGGGCCAGAUGGACUGCACCCUAGAGUGCUGAGGGAGUUGGUGGAUGUGGUUGCCAGGCCUCUCUCCAUCAUCUUUCAACAGUCCUGGCUAACAGGGAGUGUCCUGGCUGACUGGAGACUAGCAAAUGUGACGCCCAUCUUCAAGAAGGGCCGGAAAGAUGAUCCUGGUAGCUGCAGACCUAUCAGUCUCACCUCGGUGCCAGGAAAGGUUAUGGAAUGGAUAAUCUCAGGAUACAUUGUGGAUCAGUUAAAGGUCAACCAGGGGAUCAGGCCCAGUCAGCAUGGGUUUAUGAAUGGUAGAUCCUGUUUGACAAACCUGACUUCGUUCUAUGACAAGGUGACCCGCUUAGUGGAUGAAGGCAAGGCUGUCGAUGUGGUCUACCUGGACUUCAGUAAGGCCUUUGACACUGUCCCCCUCAACAUCCUUGUGGAGAAGCUGGCUG